ensembl:lncRNA
GUUAAACAACGACUUUGGUGCAGAGUUACCGACUGGAUAAUAUCAAUGCUAAAAUAAUGGCCGUAAUUCACACAUGUUACAGUAGAAGAUACUCUAGAACUGUACAAGGUUAAAAAGGUAACAUGUAGUUUGUCCCAAGGUGUCUGCCUCCUCACCCAGAGCAAGACCUCCACCUCCUCACCCAGAGCCAGACCUCCACCUCCUGUCAGAAGUCCUCCAGAACAGCUGAAAGGCGAGGCUGAGAGGCUGGGGACCGGAAGCUUGUGGUGCCAGGGUGAACCGGAGACUGAGGCUGGAGACCAGAGACCUGCGGCACCGGACCAGAGGACCAGGAAUCCAUGGCUGAAGGAGCUGAUGGAGGAGCCGAGCUGAUGGAGGAGUCGUGCUGAAGGCCCUGCCUUGUGGAGGAGCUGGUGGAGGCCCUGCCUGGUGAAGGACGUCUGUCGUGGGACCAGGACUCUGUCUGUGGAGAGCCGCUGGAGGAGCUGAGACGCUGGAGGACGACUAGGAAUCGACCAACAAGGAUUCCUCACUUUAGGGCCAGACCCGCGCUGUUUGUUCAAGACCAGGACUCUGGCUGAGGAGAGCUGAUGGAGGAGCCAAGACUCUGGAGGACGACAUCACUCCGCCAACCAGGAUCCUCACACACCGGAGCUGAACCUCACCUGAUCCUGUUUGGUCGGGGGUCGACACACCUGAGCUAAACCCGCCCUGAUCCUGACAUCCUUCUGGUCCCGUCUCCUCAGUUCAUCUGAGCCUCGUCCUCCAGAAGACCUGCUGAGCUCAGCUGUCUGAGGCUGAUGGAUCAAUGACCUCCAGUGGGAGUGAUCUUCUUGACCCCACAU